rnacentral:rRNA from 1 species
GACAGAGGGUGCAAACGUUGCUCGGAAUUACUGGGCGUAAAGCGCGUGUAGGUGGAUUGGUGUGUCAGAUGUGAAAUCCCUGGGCUCAACCCAGGAACUGCACCUGAAACUACCAGUCUUGAGUGGUGGAGAGGGAAGUGGAAUUCCUGGUGUAGAGGUGAAAUGCGCAGAUAUCAGGAGGAACACCUAUUGCGAAGGCAGCUCGCUGGGACGUAACUGACGCUGAGACGCGAAAGCGUGGGGAGCAAACAGG